UAGUUUGGGCUGCCCAUGAUGUGGAAGAAGUUGGUCUCAGACAAAAUACCAAUCUUACCUCUAGAGAAAGGAAUAGUUUUACAUGUUCAGCCAGGCAGUCCUGCAGAGCUUGUGUUUACAAGCAGAGUUAACCCAACCCUUGUGUGCUCUUUCUCAAACAUUACAGCAUUCAACUUCCUGUUCCCUUUCCUCACAGCAGGAAAACAGCAGUAUUGCCUGAGCUUGGGCUACACUCAUUUUGCAAAACCUGAUCACCUCUCCUGUCCCAUCAAAGAUUAUGGGAAGCUUUGUUUGUGCCUGUAGCUCCUAGCCCUAAGUUCCUCUUGCCUGUAUGAAAUGGAUAAUUGGUGACCAACUGUUUACACUAUGCCCCUCCCCCACUGUAUCAAAUAAACCUUGAGUUGUUUGUCUCA